rnacentral:rRNA from 1 species
CCCCUAGAUGUUCUGGGCCGCACGCGCGCUACACUGAACAGUUCAACAAGUCUUAACCUUGGCCGAUAGGUCUGGGUAAUCUUUGAACGCUGUUCGUGAUUGGGAUAGACCUUUGCAAUUAUGGGUCUUCAACGAGGAAUUCCUAGUAAACGCAAGUCAUCAGCUUGCAUUGAUUACGUCCCUUCCCUUUGUACACACCGCCCGUCGCACCUACCGAUUGAAUGGUCCGGUGAAAUCUCGGGACGGCGGCUUGGUCGCUUGCGUCCGACUGCUGAAACUUGAUUAAACCAUAUCAUUUAGAGGAAGGUGAAGUCGUANCA